GCCUCCGUAGCUCAGGGGACAGAGCAGCGGUUUUCUAAGCCGCGGGUCCGGGGUUCGAAUCCUCGCGGGGGCACCA
rnacentral:tRNA from 1 species